AGAGUUUGAUCAUGGCUCAGGAUGAACGCUAGCUACAGGCUUAACACAUGCAAGUCGAGGGGAAACGACAUCGAAAGCUUGCUUUUGAUGGGCGUCGACCGGCGCACGGGUGAGUAACGCGUAUCCAACCUGCCCACCACUUGGGGAUAACCUUGCGAAAGUAAGACUAAUACCCAAUGACGUCCCUAGAAGACAUCUGAAGGAGGUUAAAGAUUUAUCGGUGAUGGAUGGGGAUGCGUCUGAUUAGCUUGUUGGCGGGGUAACGGCCACCAAGGCGACGAUCAGUAGGGGUUCUGAGAGGAAGGUCCCCCANAUUGGAACUGAGACACGGUCCAAACUCCUACGGGAGGCA
rnacentral:rRNA from 1 species